UACGUAGGGGGCGAGCGUUGUCCGGAAUCAUUGGGCGUAAAGCGCGCGUAGGCGGCCCGGUAAGUCCGUUGUAAAAGUCAAAGGCUCAACCUUUGAACGCCGAUGGAUACUGCCGGGCUAGAGUCCGGAAGAGGCGAGUGGAAUUCCUGGUGUAGCGGUGAAAUGCGCAGAUAUCAGGAAGAACACCCGUGGCGAAAGCGGCUCUCUGGAACGGUACUGACGCUGAGACGCGAAAGCGUGGGGAGCGAACAGG
rnacentral:rRNA from 1 species